UACGUAGGGUGCAAGCGUUGUCCGGAAUUAUUGGGCGUAAAGAGCUCGUAGGCGGUUCGUCGCGUCGGCUGUGAAAUCCCGAGGCUCAACCUCGGGUCUGCAGUGGGUACGGGCAGACUAGAGUGCGGUAGGGGAGAUUGGAAUUCCUGGUGUAGCGGUGGAAUGCGCAGAUAUCAGGAGGAACACCGAUGGCGAAGGCAGAUCUCUGGGCCGUAACUGACGCUGAGGAGCGAAAGCGUGGGGAGCGAACAGG
rnacentral:rRNA from 1 species